rnacentral:rRNA from 1 species
UACGUAGGGGGCGAGCGUUGUCCGGAUUUAUUGGGCGUAAAGAGCUCGUAGGCGGUUCGAUAAGCCGGAUGUGAAAUCUCCACGCUCAACGUGGAGGGUGCAUUCGGUACUGUCGUGACUAGAGUCAGGUGGAGGAGUGUGGAAUUCCUGGUGUAGCGGUGAAAUGCGCAGAGAUCAGGAGGAACACCCGUAGCGAAGGCGGCACUCUGGGCCUUGACUGACGCUGAGGAGCGAAAGCGUGGGUAGCGAACAGG